CCUCGCCGCGCCUCGCCGCCGCCUGGCCGCAGCACCCGCACCCGCACCACCAGUACCAGCCCGAGCGAUGAUGCCCGCCCGACCACCACCACCCAGAGUGUAACAUUUUAUGGAGGCUGGUACUCGAUGUUUGCCAAGACUUUAUUGACGCGGAACAGUGCAUUCCUAUUUUGAGUAUGUUGUGUAGUGUACGAGUGCGAGUAGUGAACCACUGACGCCCCGCGCGUGACAAGUGCUCUUACGUCGCCCCGCGGCGCUCUAGUCCAGUAUUUAUUGUUAUCGUAUACCGUUGUUGACACUAGUAAACUAACCGGAGGGUGCCAGUCUGUCCGAAUUGAGCCGCGAAUAAAACAUAACGAGUUAGGAAUUUCACAGGCUGUGAUAUGCGACUGAUUCCCUUAAAAAUAUGUUGUAAGGUAGUGUUGUUACUGAUAGCGGUAAGGACGGAUCCCGCGCUAGCGGACGUCGCCUCCUAGAGCGAACGCGCCGCGCUGUUGAAUUUACACGUACUAUAACAAAUUAUAUACAUUUUAAUUAAGAUAGAGCGAAUGCCACUAUGAAAAAUUAUAUGUUUACAUUCCAUAGUGCCAUUGUCUGUAACUUUAUUUUAAAUCAUAAUUAAGUUAUUAAGAUGCGAACUUCAGUUUCCAAAUGCAAUCCCCACUUCAGCUCCCGCCUGUAUUACAUAUCGGAGGUUUUGAAGCCGCAGAGCGGGGUCGUGGCGCUUGCAUUUGGAAACCGUCGGUGGCCGCCGGCGAUACUUGCAUGUUUGUAUGUCGGCCAACAAUGUACGCCGAAACGCACCCUUUGCCGCCGGGCUACACGAGACUGAGGAUUAAUUGUUGCGAAUAUUCUCGAAUUGUCGCUCGGCUCUUCGCGCAACGAUGCUGCCUCACUACGCGUCCUAUUAUUUUUAAUAUUUAUAUUGUUUAUAUGUAAGUUAUUUAAUGUGUACAUAGUAAGAAAGGAGAAAGAUGAAGAAAAAAUUCAUAUAUAUGAAAUGCGUUCGUUGAUUGUGACGUGUAGGGUGCGACCGUUCGCCGGGACUCUAGACAUCACAGACAUCGCUCCGUCGUUAUUGACUAUUAUUACAAAAAAAUGAAUGUUUAAAGAUUAUGUACAUUUUGUGUAAAUAUACUUUUAUGGUGUGUAAAGAGUAAAUGACAAAAAUAUGUAAUAAAAAAAUGAUGUGGAGCCCGGCGCGAGCGCUCUUGCCGCUGGCGACUGACCUAAUAUUGUCAGUCUUUAACAAUAACGCACAGAAAAUAUCCAAAGAUGACUACACUUGUUCCUACAACGCCAGAUUCCCUAAAUACCAGAUUUCCAGAAUUAUCGGAUUUCGAAGACGUUAGAUUUUUAACACCAAAUUUGCAGUACCAAAGAGAUAGUAAAUAAAUAAGAAUCUCAUAUUUUGAAAAUUCGGUAUUACUACGUUUUAGGAUUUGUUUGAGAAGGUCCAUAGUACAUAUUUUAGGUGGUUCAUACAAUAUUUUUCUCUGCGUUAUUGUUAAAGACAGAAGUCGUGCUAUGAUGCUAUAUUGUGGUGCUAGUGUUAUGCCACAAGCCAAAAAUAUUCCGCUCACCACGGAACCAGUUACCUAUCUAAUUUAUUUGUAAUGUUUAUGAUAUAAAGUAAUGGGUGCUAUUAUAUUGUUAUGUUGCCUUAUUGUAUAGGCCAAAGCCGCGGCCUCGCUUGCUGUUAUAUAGGUGCCUAGAUUAAGAACUCAAAUAUAAUGCUAGAUCUCGAAUUCCUACGUCAGAAUGAGGUUAAAUUAAGAACGGGCAUAUCUUUCAAAGUAACAAUGACACUGUUACCUUCACUAUCGUUAGGGAUUUGUGCUACAUAAACUAAUAGUUCAUAGUUCGUCGGUGCCUACUGCAAGUGUCGUUGGCGCUCGCAACGUAAAGUUGUUAAUGAAUUACAAAAUUUAUGCAAUUCUGUUAAGCAUUAUUGAAUUUUACUUAGAUGAAGUCGAUAUUAGUCAUUCGAUAUUAAAUGUUUUACAGUUUCAUAUUAUAAAAGUUGUCGCUUCAAAGUUUAUUGCAAAGUAUUAUAUUAGUAUUGUUUGCUAGUCCGUAUGUCUGGCGUCGCGCGUAGUACCUAUAUGCGAUGCCCGCGCCCGCGCUCGCGUCGGGGUUACCUUUUGCUCAAUGGCCUUCGCUGUCGGUGGCUAAUGACAGAAUGUUAAGAUUUUAAUAAUUUGUAAGUAAUAAAAACAUUCUUGCAUAUCCUGUCAUGCACGAGCGAGACGUUGUAGUUUCUCGACGUAAAAGGAAACGGCGGUACACUCCAGCCGCCGCACUCCACUCGAGCUCUUUACUUUUUGUAAAUAAUCGCCAGGCAAUUUUAUAGCGUUAUGUAUAAGUUUUAUAUCGAUUUUACAUUGGCACUCUGCCGCGCUGAAUAUAAAAGUACAAUAAAUAAUUUUAAAACAACUUAUACUUAUAUGUCUAAGAAUACUGAUUAGAAUAAUAUUAAAAAGUGUCUCAAAACUGUUUAAUUUUUGAAAAGAUAUAAUAACUUGAUGAAGCCGACAUCAGAAAAAAAUAAAUAAAAACAAAAAAAUAUAAAAAAAACAAAAAAAUAAAUAAAAACGCCAUAAAAAUAACAAAAAGAGAAAAAAAAAACAUUGACGACUUCGAUCAGAGUCUGAUCGAACGCCAUGUCGUUGUGGCGAAAGGUUUUCACAGCUGUAUUCGAGCGCAAAGUUGACGAGAGGUAGCUAUUGUCUUUCCGUCAGUCUAGCGCUCAUUUAGGUGACGUGAUAAAGAUGGGGGGCUCUUUCUAGUUAGUUCCUUUUCUACGCUCAGACGGCGGUGAUCUUUAUGCCAAUGGCAUAGAGUUCACUGCCCACUGCAGGAUCGUAUGGUAGUAACUACUGGCGACAGCCCAAUGGUGGAACCGUCCUGCUGCGCGCCCUCUCGUGCGCAGGGAGUGCGCGCCGCGGUCGCGUGUCCACCCUGAAGUUUCCCUUUACUGGAUGCUCUCAGCCCCCCCCCCCCCCCCCCCCACGACUGCGCGGCGACGAGAUGAUAAGUGGAAGCGAGCAAAAAAUCAUGGCUCACUCUCACACAUGGUCGUUGACCGCUGCCGCGUGAUGUGGUGGGAACAAAGCUUGGCUACUUUAUCUUCCGAAUAUCUGAAGUAAAUCACGGCAGAGUAUCCACUUAAACCAAGGGAACAGUAACAGAACAAGCUCCAACGACCACAAAAUCCACAUAAGCGCCCUUAACAAUUUCACCAUCCAGCUGCAAUAAAGAAAUUAGAUUUAUCAAAACUUUCUUGUUAUCUAUCAAGCUGCUGUUUAUUGGUGCUAAAGCCGGGCGGCCGUUGAAAGAUCCGGUGUUUGAUGCUUUAGAAUUUAAGGAGGCUUUUAAGCCUCGCGGCCUUAAAGAGAACUUGAAACUGCCGUUUGUAUUAAAUUUUUGCUCAUUAUUAUAAUUGUGCAAGGUAUUAUCGUCACAGCCUAUUGUUUGUUCCUUUGCCGCUUGUCCUCAAAUCACCUCUCCAGAAGUACAAGAUCCAUAAAAAGAAUCAGGAUUUUUCACUAUUCUAUAUUCUAAUCCCAUCUUCCAGAAUUUAGGCGUAUUACCUACACUCACGAAAUAAAAUAAUUUCUAAAUGCAAUCUAGAAUAGCCUACAGUUCUGCUACAUGUAAUCAAAAUGAUAUUUUAGAAAUUCGAUAUGUUGAGUUGGCGGCCUUUGUCGACAAGCGAAAGGUGCAGACUGGCUGUGAGUUCUCUUCAAAUUGUUAUAGGUGUAACGUAAUAAUUUGUGAAAUUAAAAUGUACUUAACAUUUAUUUUGAUGUUCAUAUAAAUAAAGUGCAAAAUUAUUUCGUGAAAAUCGGAAGUUAUUGGUAUUGAGCCAAUUGUGUAUAAUGUUAAUAUUGUAAAGUAUUGUAAAUGUACGUAAAUCUCUAAUUAAUAGCUAUAGUUUUUCAGCCCCAAGGCUUUCAAAUAAAAUUGUUUUGUAAAAAUAUUUUUGUCAUAUUUUUGACAAAUUUUCUCAUGUGUUGCAUUUUAUUUUAUUGAACACAAGUAAUUUUAUUGUCCUUGUUAUACAAAGAAAUUAUUGUAAAGAAAAUAUUCUGUAAUAGUUAAAACAUUAUACAAACCGCCGAAA